ensembl:ncRNA Y41D4B.31 ncRNA
CUUAGGCUUAGGCUUAGGUUUAGGCUUAGGCUUAGGCUUAAGCUUGGGCUUUGGCUUAGCAUUAGGAUCAGACUGAGGCUUAUGCAUAGGCUUAG